ACUAUGAAUAAGUACCUUAUACCAUCCCACUUCAGAGUACUCAACUAUCCUUUUAAACAUUGAAGCCUUUUUAUUUCUUGUUGUUUUUUUAGAUGACGAUGUGACCAGAUUUGUGGAUCACAUCCACAGCAAAAAUAAACAUGUCACUGGAAGGAGCAAUUGUGGUGGGGAGGGGUCAGCUGCAAGAGAGACCUCCCAAAGAUCAAGCAGUUAGGUGGAUGAGGAGGGACUGGAGCUGGCAGUGUGCAGGCAUGAUGUCUUGCUGGCUGCCCUUAAUAUAAUUAGGGGUGAACUAUUUUGCAGCAGCUGCUGGCAUCCAGACAUGGCAUCACCUUUUUUUGUAUGGAUGUUGUGUGCAAAUAUUGGCCAUACCUGUAAAGAAUAAGCACCAACUGUCCCGAGCUCGAGGCCCUUCCUGUUGGUUGUACAUGCUAAAGCGCAUGACUUCAAAUGUGAGGUUAGUAUAAUACAGCACAUUUUUAUCAAAUGACUUGCAAUCCUAUAAAUGAUGCAUAUAAAUGUGUAAUGUUUAACUAUCACUUAACAGAUUAUUUAACAUUUGUAUUGUUAAAGGUAUUGUUGUUGAUGUGAACAGCCCUUAAUUGACAAAUCUACUUUUGUCAAGGAUAUUAUUUUGCACCUGUCUGUGUAUGUUUGUUUAUAAGCAAGAUUACUCCUGAGGUUUACCACUAAUGUAAACACAACUUGGUGGAAGGGUGACAGUUUGAUUUUUGAUUAGGUUUUAAUUGAAUUAAAAGUGACUGUUGGGCAUUGCUUGAGGUCUCUGCUGUACUAAAUUCCCUUGAUGUUUCUGUUUGGGUCCCUCUCUCCAGGUGAAAUGGAGUGGCACAAACCAAGAAGGUGCUGGUAAAACACUAGGGGAGGAAGUAGAGCAAUGUAAUGCUUUCCUCUCCAGGAUAGCAGUCACCACAAAGUAUAUGUCAAAAGCAGGUGCUAUAUAAUUGUACCUCUGUAUACAAAAUAAAAGACAUUUAUAUUAUUACAAGUGAAUCUUUACAGAACUCAUCUCUGUGUACUUGCAGGACGCAAUGACAUGCUGACACUCCUGGCCAUAAGAUGGAACCAGCAGAAAUAUCAAAACCUGGCUACUGCACUUUCCCAGAGAUACCAUAAGGUAAAUA
rnacentral:lncRNA from 15 species